UAACAGGAAGUGCCGAAAGAUUAUAGAGAUGUAAUAUUCAUUGUUUCAUUCGCCGUAGUAACAAGAGAGAAUCUUGAGGAAGGAUUAAACAAAGAAACAGCUGGAUGUUAUUUUAGAAGUAGCACAGUAGCAGCUAAAAGAUUUGGGAGAUGGAAAGUUCUCAAUUAACAAGUUCAAGAGAAUACAGUGACAUGAUCAAUCGCGACUCAUAAACAUCCUUAAUUUAUAUUCAAGGCUGAGGUCGUUGGGACCGUUAUGUUGGUGUUUUGGAUGUCGCGAAACUUGCUAUUAGCGAGAUCCAGGUACUUCCUACCAGACCAGAUAUCAGUGAGCUAGUUCGUACGUGGAGACUUUAAGAUACUAUUGCUGAGGACGAGACUAGUGGUUGAAGAGUACGUGAGUUGAUUCAGUUAUUAAGGUGAGCCGCCACAUUGUCCCGGAUGCUGUAAUCUCUUUUGUAAUUCUCU